AUGUAAAUAAUAAAAUAGUUCACAAAUAAUAUAAUAAUAUCAAUGUUUGCAUAUGUAACUUUUUUUUUUUUUUGUUCCUUAAAUUUUUAAGUGGGUGCAUGGUACCCAAAUUAAUUGCUCGGUGUUCUUUAGUAUUUAAAUUUUAGAUGUUGUUGGCAAUUUUAAAUAUUGGUUUAGCUGUUACGCUUCCCUUUUUCAUGGUUUCCAUUAAAUUUUUUGGUGUUAUGUAUUGAAUUUGUAGGUGGAGAUGAAUGCUCUUAAGUCUUGACUCUCUAUAAUUAAUAAAAUAAAAAAUAUUAAUAAUAAUUACAAUAUUAAAAAUAAUAAUAGUGGUGUAUCAGCUUUAAAAGCCGUUGGAACCCCUCUUUUUUUUUAUUUAUAAUUUCUCUGCUAUAAUAUGGUACAUAUUUUUUAUAUUUUACUUAUUUAUUUUUUCUCUCUAAAUCUCUCUCUAUCAUCAAAACUUAAAAACACCGACUCCUCUCUCUAAUAAAGCAAUGAAUGAGUCUCUCUGUUUGUUGUAAUUACAAAAUAUAUGGUAUGUAUGUAUAUUUACUCCAAAUUUCCACUUCCUGCUCUAUAUUUCUUGGGAUUUUUUCCAACCAUAAAUACAUUUCCUGGCCUCAAUUUACAUCUUCUUCUACCACCCCCAACACUUCAAUUCUCUCUCUCCUCUUAAAUCCUCUUCUCUUCUCUCUCUCUCUCUCUUAAUUAUGCUUUAAAGAAAACCCAUCUCCCUCCUUCCUCAACUCCCCCUUAUAUAUAUAAUCAUCCCUUCCCUUCUUCUUAUAUUACCAUCUUCACUUUUUCUUCCUCUCUUUAUAAUUUCAUUCUAGUUUGUUUCUACUUUCUCUCUCUUACCACCCUUUUUACCCAACUUCAGGUUAAUACAAUUAGUCCAAUUAAUCAAAUUACACAUACAUAAAUAUGAGCCGCCGAAACGGAAGUCGUCCAAAGCUAGAUUUAAAGCUGAACCUAUCGCCGCCACGGGCAAACCCGCUGCUGGUGGAGUCGCCAAGGCGAUCGGCGACGGUAUCACCGACGUCGCCGCAGAGUUCGUGCGUGUCGUCUGAGCUGAAUCAAGAUGAGAUGAGCGUGAGAUACUCGAACAGCCCAGAAGCAACAUCCAUGGUGCUUGUGGGUUGCCCAAGAUGCCUCAUGUAUGUCAUGCUCUCAGAAGAUGAUCCCAAAUGCCCAAAAUGCAAAAGCACAGUUUUGCUUGAUUUCCUCCAUGACAACACCACUACUACUACUCCUACCUCUAAGCCUAGGAACAGCUAAGCUUAAACCCAUCAUCAUUAUUACUACUACUAUUAUAAAACAUCUUCUUCUUCUUUUUCUUCUUCUUCUUCUUUUUCUUCUCUUCUUUUUUUUUAGGAGUAUUUGUAUUAUGUUAACUAGUUCUUUUUUUUUCUUUUGGAAGUGGUGCUAUUUGCUCUCCAUUUUUUUUUAAUGCUAGAAAUUUUGGUUGAUUUUGAGUUAUGUAUUUGGAUUUGUGAUCCACAAAGAACUCGUUUGUGAUUGUGAAAAAAGUAGACAAGGAAAAUGGAGUGAAAAUAGCACUUUUUUUAGUAGUAUUUUUCUUUUCUUUUUUCGUUCUCUAAUCAUAGAAAAUAGAGGAAGGGGCAAAAUGGGGUUUUGGCAUGGGCAAAAUGUAAACCGUUAUGUUCUAACAGUAACUGCUUAAUAUUUUCUCUCAAGGAUAUUAAUUUAUUUUAUUUUCAGA